rnacentral:lncRNA from 1 species
AUGGCUAUCAUCAUCUCCCAUCCUCAGGAACUAAGGAGGCAGAGGCUAUGCAGAAAUCAUUGCUUAAGGAGUUCUUCACUUGUGGACCUGGAGCAGUCUCUGCCUUGGCUGUAUUAUCAAGAGACUGUGCUGUCCACCAGAUCUGGAGAAGAAGCUGGCCAGAAAGCUGUUCCCACCCAUGUUCGCUACACUUUUCAACAUGUUUCCUCACUGUUCAUUGUGAGCUGGUGCUGCUGCUCACCCACUGAUCAACCAGGCAGGUAUGAAGGCCUCUGAAGGUUUGGGAACCAAGCCUUGGAUGGUCUGAAGGCUGGAAUGGAUGUGACUAGGGUUUUAACUUUUUUUUUAAAUCUCCUUUUGCUGUUAAAUUGGGUUGUCUGACUAUGCUCUUUUCUAUGGGAACAUUCAGAUUUCCAGGAAGAAAAGAUUGUCUGUAGCAUUGCAUCAUCCUUUCCUCCCCUUCAAAUAGCCUCUUUGGCUGAUGGUUGAAGUAGCCUGGACAGCUCUUCAUUUGCACCCUUGUCACACUGUCAUGCUAUGAAGGUUUGAUAGCAAUGACUGAGACUAAUAUAAUAAUAAUAAAAAAGAUGUUUAUUUCCUCA